CACUGCUCUUGACAGACAAGUGUUGCUGAACCACCGAAGUGGUCUUCUGGAGCAGCUUGAUGGAUCAAUUGAUGCACCAGUAACUCUUCACCUGGCCUGCCUGGUACUCUUCCAGUCUGUAACAGGGAACAUGUUACAUGCAUCAGGGAAGUUUGUACCACAUAUCUUGGCGCUUAUUAAGAGUCAGAUACCAGCUGAUCAGUUUUCUGUACUGCAGGAAUAUCAAGAUUUAGUGAUUAAAUCUCUAACAAGCAAGAGUGACUUGGAGGCAGAGAGUGAAGUAAGACUCCAGCUUGAAACUCUAACUCCAGUCGUGAAGGAAAUAGCCAUCACUUUUAAGAAAGCACCUGCUAGCUCGUACAAUAAAGAGGAAGAAUAAACUAAUAAGGAAAAUACUUUUGACCAUAUAAGAAUUUUAUUUUCUCCUGUGCAUCCUUUAAUUGUCGUGGUGUUAAUCUAUGCAUCACUGCUAGCACUGUAAAUAUUUAAAAAAAAGAUUUUGUAAAAAAAAAAAAAAAAAGAGGUCUUUUGAGUGUUCUAAUAAAAAAAAAAUUAGGGUCAGUACUUAUCAAGAUAUAAGGCGGUGAAGUUGGCACUGGGUGCUCAUGUGACAGCAACAGGGAGUCCUCCCGCUUGCAGGAAUCUCUCAGAUAACUUGUUUUUCCUCAUUUUUUUAAUUUGCGCAUUUUUUGUGUUCAGAUAUAGACAAUUUAGAGUAAAUCUUAUUUCAUAGAUACUGGUUAUUUUGACAAAUAUUACGUACAUGAAUAGUAAUGAAACAGUCACAGAUACAUAAUUUCAUACUGACAGGUGAAAAUGUCAACCUGCCUCAGUCACAUACUAUUUUUCGACAAUUUGUAUUUUUUUAUUAACACAUCGGUCAUUUCCCACCAAGGCAGGGUGUAACACAGAGGUGUAAGCACACCUCUGUCUUGCCAGAGGUAUGCUUACACUACAGUUAUAGGACUGCAACAUUAACACACUUUCCAUCUCCAGGACUCAAGUCUGGUCUGCUGGUUUCCCUGAAUCCCUUCAUAAAUAUUACCUUGCCCACGCUCCACAACACGUCAAGUCCUAAAAACAUUUGUCUGCAUUCGCUCCUAACAUGCUCACGCAUGCUUGCUGGAGUCCAAGCCCCUCGCACACAAAACCUCCUUUACUCCCUACCUCCAACCGUUUCUAGGCUGACCUCUACCCUGCCUUCCCUACAUUACAGAUUUAUACACUCAUGAAGUCAUUCUAUUUUGUUCAUUCUCUCUACAUGUCUGAACCAGCUCAACAAUCACUCCUCAGCCCUCUGGAUAAUAGUUUUGGUAAUCCUGCACCUCCUAAUUUCCAAACUAUGAAUUCUCUGCAUUAUAUUCACACCACACUUUGCCCUCAGACAUGACAUCUCCACUGCCUCCAGCCUUCCCUUUGUUGCAAUAUUCACCACCCAUGCUUUGCACCCAUAUAAGAGCAUUGGUAUAACUAUACGCUCAUAUAUUUCCCUCUGCUUCCAUGGACAAAGUUCUUUGUCUCCACAGACUCCUCAGUGUACCACUCGACUUUUUCCCCUCGUCAAUUCUAUGAUUCACCUAAUCCAUCUGCUGACACGUCCAUUCCAAAAUACAGUGGACCCCCGCAUUAUGAUAUUAAUCCAUUCCUCAGAGCUCAUCGUAUGCCGAAAUUAUCGUAAGGCGAAUUAAUUUUCUCCAUAAGAAAUAAUGGAAAUCAAAUUAAUCCGUUCCUGACACCCCAAGGUAUGAACAAAAAAAUUUUUUACCACAUGAAAUAUUAAUUUUAAUACACACAAACUGAAGAAGACAUGCACAGUUAAUACUCUACUAAGAACAGAAUACAUGACACUUAACUUUAUUGAAGAUCUGGUUAUGAUUGAUGGGAUGGGAGGAGGGGAGAGAGUGGAAGUUGUUAUUGUUUAGAAGGGGAAUCCCCUUCCAUUAGGACUUGAGGUAUCAAGUCCUUUUCCGGGGUUACUUCCCUUCUUUUGAUACCACUAGGACCAGCUUGAGAGUCACUGGACCUCUGUCUCACAACAUAUCUGUCCAUAGAGCUCUGUACCUCUCGUUCCUUUAUGAUUUGUCUAAAGUGGUUCACAACAUUGUCAUUGUAAUAGUCACCAGCACGGCUUGCAAUAGCUGUGUGAGGGUGAUUUUCAUCCAUAAAGGUUUGCACUUCAAGCCACUUUGCACACAUUACCUUAAUCUUUGAAGUAGACAACUUCUUAAAUUUCUCUCUCCCCUCCUCCGAAGCAGUUUCCCAGGUCUGGCUUCUUGCUGUUGAAGAUGAUCUUGCAGCUCAUCAGUGGUUAGUUCUUCAUUGUUCUCCUCCACCAGCUCUUCCACAUCCUCCCAGUAACCUCCAACCCCAAGGACUUCCCCAGUGCCACAAUAGAUUCCACAACUGGCAUACACUUCUCAGGGUUAGCCUCAAACCCUUCAAAAUCCCUUUUGUCUACACAUUCUGGCCACAGUUUCUUCCAAGCAGAGUUCAAGGUCCUCUUAGUCACUCCCUCCAAAGCCUUACACAACUGAGGAUACUGAAGUGAUCUUUCCAAAACUCUCUUAGAGUCGAUCGAGUGUCUGAGGUCACUUCAAAGCACUUUUGAAACAGCUUUUUUGUAGAGUUUUUUGAAGUUUGAAAUGACCUGCUGGUCCAUGGGCUGCAGGAGAGGAGUGGUAUUAGGAGGCAAAAACUUGACCUUAAUGAAGCUCAUGUCCCCAGAAAGUCACUCUGCCAAGUCUGAAGGAUGACCAGGAGCAUUGUCUAAUACCACGAGGCACUUAAGGUCCAAUUUAUUUUCCAGGAGGUAAUGUUUCACAGUGGGGGCAAAUGCAUGGUGUCACCAGUCAUAGAAAAAGUCCCUAGUGACCCAUGCCUUACUGUUUGCCCUCCACAGCACACACAAAUUAGCCAAGAGGACAUUGUUUUGCCUGAACACUCUGGGAGUUUCAGAGUGAUACACCAAUAAAGGCUUCACUUUCCAAUCACCACUAACGUUAGCACACAUCAAGAGAAUAAGCCUGUCUUUCAUAGGUUUAUGUCCUGGGAGUGCCUUUUCCUCCUGAGUAAUGUAGGUCCUGCUUGGCAUUUUCUUCCAAAACAGGCCUGUUUCAUCGCAAUUAAACACUUGUUCACGUUUCAAUUCUUCACUGUCUAUGUACUCCUUGAAUUCCUUCACAUAUUUUUCAGCUGCUUUUUGGUCCGAACUGGCAGCCUUAUCACACUAUGUAUGCCACUACGAUUCUUAAAUCUCUCAAACCAACCUUUGCUGGCCUUAAAUUCACUCACAUCAUCACUAGUUGUAGGCAUUUUUCUAAUUAAAUCGUCAUGCAACUUCCUAGCCUUAUCACAUAUGAUCGCUUGAGAGAUGGUAUCUCCUGCUGUCUGUUUUUCGUUUAUCCACACCAGUAAAAGUCUCUCAACAUCUUCGAGUACUUGCGAUCUCUUAUUCGAAAACUAAGUUGCACCUUUUGCAAGAACAGCUUCCUUGAUUGCCAUUUUGUUGGCCACUAUAGUAGCGAUGGUUGAUUGGGGUUUGGUAUACAACCUGGCGAGCUCCGAGACAUGCACUCCACUUUUGUACUUAGCAAUUAUCUCUUUCUUCAUAUCCAUAGUAAUUCUCACCCUUUUUCCUGUAGGGUUGGCACUAGAAGCUUUCUUGGGGGCCAUGGUGACUUAUUUUGCAGGUACAAUCACUAAAAACGCUGUGAUAAUAUGAAAUGUUCCGAUUGUAUGCUUGGAUGCGACCGCGGUGGCUGGCUUGUAAACACUGGCACGCACGGGGGAGCCGAGGCCAUGUGUGGGACGCGUCCCAGAUGAAUCGCGUGAGGCGAGGCAAAAUUUUUGCGUCAAAAUGUAUGGUGGAUUUAACGUAAUGCGAUGCCAUCGUAAGGUAGGGGUCCACUGUAUCUGAAUACAUUCACUUCCUCCAUACUCUCUCCCUCCAAUCUGAUAUCCAGUCUUUUGUUAUCUAUUUUUUUUUUUUUGUUUGUUUGCAAUCCUAAUAACCUUACUCUCCUAAACUCACUUUUAAUUUUCUUCUUUUACAUACCCUACCAAACU